rnacentral:rRNA from 1 species
UACGGGGGGAGCAAGCGUUGUUCGGAUUUACUGGGCGUAAAGGGCGCGUAGGCGGCCAGCACAAGUCAGUUGUGAAAUCUCCGGGCUUAACUCGGAAAGGUCAACUGAUACUGUGCGACUAGAGUGCAGAAGGGGCAACUGGAAUUCUCGGUGUAGCGGUGAAAUGCGUAGAUAUCGAGAGGAACACCUGCGGCGAAGGCGGGUUGCUGGGCUGACACUGACGCUGAUGCGCGAAAGCCAGGGGAGCAAACGGG